UGGGGAAUAUUGCACAAUGGGCGCAAGCCUGAUGCAGCCAUGCCGCGUGUGUGAAGAAGGCCUUCGGGUUGUAAAGCACUUUCAGCGAGGAGGAAGGUGGUGAACUUAAUACGUUCAUCAAUUGACGUUACUCGCAGAAGAAGCACCGGCUAACUCCGUGCCAGCAGCCGCGGUAAUACGGAGGGUGCAAGCGUUAAUCGGAAUUACUGGGCGUAAAGCGCACGCAGGCGGUUUGUUAAGUCAGAUGUGAAAUCCCCGGGCUCAACCUGGGAACUGCAUUUGAAACUGGCAAGCUAGAGUCUCGUAGAGGGGGGUAGAAUUCCAGGUGUAGCGGUGAAAUGCGUAGAGAUCUGGAGGAAUACCGGUGGCGAAGGCGGCCCCCUGGACGAAGACUGACGCUCAGGUGCGAAAGCGUGGGGCAGCAAACAGGAUUAGAUACCCUGGUAGUCCACGCUGUAAACGAUGUCGAUUUGGAGGUUGUGCCCUUGAGGCGUGGCUUCCGGAGCUAACGCGUUAAAUCGACCGCCUGGGGAGUACGGCCGCAAGGUUAAAACUUAAAUGAAUUGAC
rnacentral:rRNA from 1 species